GACGAACGCUGGCGGCGUGCCUAACACAUGCAAGUCGAACGGAGUUGAUCUUCGGAUCAACUUAGUGGCGAACGGGUGAGUAACGCGUGAGGAACCUGCCUUUCAGUGGGGGACAACAGUUGGAAACGACUGCUAAUACCGCAUAAUGUUGUGAGAUCGCAUGAUCAUGCAACCAAAGAUUUAUGCUGAAAGAUGGCCUCGCGUCUGAUUAGCUAGUUGGUGAGGUAAUGGCUCACCAAGGCGACGAUCAGUAGCCGGUCUGAGAGGAUGAACGGCCACAUUGGGACUGAGAUACGGCCCAGACUCCUACGGGAGGCAGCAGUGGGGAAUAUUGGGCAAUGGGGGAAAUCCUGACCCAGCAACGCCGCGUGAAGGAAGAAGGCCUUCGGGUUGUAAAC
rnacentral:rRNA from 1 species